rnacentral:rRNA from 1 species
AGCGAACGCUGGCGGCAGGCCUAACACAUGCAAGUCGAACGAACCUUUCGGGGUUAGUGGCGGACGGGUGAGUAACACGUGGGAACGUGCCUUUAGGUUCGGAAUACCUCAUGGAAACUUGUGCUAAUACCGAAUGUGCCCUUCUGGGGAAAGAUUUAUCGCCUUUAUAGCGGCCCGGGUCGGUUUAGCUAGUUGGUUGAGGUAAUGGCUCACCCAGGCGACGAUCAGUAGCUGGUCUGAGAGGAAGAUCAGCCACAUUGGGACUGAGACACGGCCCAAACUCCUACGGGAGGCAGCAGUGGGGAAUCUUGCGAAAUGGGCGAAAGCCUGACGCAGCCAUGCCGCGUGAAUGAUGAAGGUCUUAGGAUUGUAAAAUUCUUUCACCGGGGACGAUAAUGACGGUACCCGGAGAAGAAGCCCCGGCUAACUUCGUG